AUUUAAUGAUGUAAACAUUUAUAAAGAUUGAAUAACCAUGAUGUUAUAUUUCGAGCUUUUUAACCCUGAAAAUU